UUGCUUAGAUGGGACUCCAGCACCAAUCAUUUCAGCACUGUAUCUCUGGGGUCAAUAUGGUUCAGUUUGCUGUGCAAAGUCCGAGGAGAUAACCGCACUGUGCACACAUCGGACUCGCUGAGUCGGCAGGACUGCAGUUGUAAAAGAGCUGCGGGGAGUGGAGACCAGUGCCUGCAGCCCCCUGCCUCUCCCACAGGCACCUGGAGUGUGGUGUGCAGAGCUGCCGAGCUCUGCUUCCCAAGGAGGCGACCAAAGGGAGCCAUGUGGCUGGAAAUUUUCCUCGCCUCAGUGCUGGGCUUUGUCAUCUACUGGUUCAUCUCCCAGGACAAGGAAGAAACUUUGCCACUUGAAGAUGGGUGGUGGGGGCCGGGAACGAGACCCACAGCCAGGGAAGAUGAGAGCAUCCGCCCUUUCAAGGUAGAAACGUCGGACGAGGAGA